rnacentral:rRNA from 1 species
AUUGAACGCUGGCGGCAGGCCUAACACAUGCAAGUCGAGCGGAUGAGAGGAGCUUGCUCCUCGAUUCAGCGGCGGACGGGUGAGUAAUGCCUAGGAAUCUGCCCAGUAGUGGGGGACAACGUUUCGAAAGGAACGCUAAUACCGCAUACGUCCUACGGGAGAAAGUGGGGGAUCUUCGGACCUCACGCUAUUGGAUGAGCCUAGGUCGGAUUAGCUAGUUGGUAGGGUAAAGGCCUACCAAGGCGACGAUCCGUAACUGGUCUGAGAGGAUGAUCAGUCACACUGGAACUGAGACACGGUCCAGACUCCUACGGGAGGCAGCAGUGGGGAAUAUUGGACAAUGGGCGCAAGCCUGAUCCAGCCAUGCCGCGUGUGUGAAGAAGGCCCUCGGGCCGUAAAGCACUUUAAGUUGGGAGGAAGGGCUUACAGCGAAUACCUGUGAGUUUUGAUGUUACCGACAGAAUAAGCACCGGCUAACUUCGUGCCAGCCGCCGCGGUAA